GAUAUCUAUAUUUAGCAUGGGAAACACUUAUGGCAAGUAGUUUCGUAUUAAAUAAAAAGUUUAACAAAAGGGACUCAUAAUUUUAUUGACAGAAUUCACAAUCUAGGAGGAAGUUGUUUAGAAGCGAUUGAUUUAAAAAUCGCCGCUUAUAAAGCAAGUAUGGAUUACAAUUGGAAAUUCGUUUUAAUUGUAACUGUCUUGCUAUAUGCAGGAGGCAAGAAUAGUAGCACAGAAGCCAAAAAGCAGUCUCCAGUACCUGUUAAAUAUUUUACACCAGAAGUUAUGACACCUAUCUUUGAAGUGAUGCGUAGGUAUGGGGAAGCUAAAAGAGAUAAAGUCGACAAUAAAAUUAAUCAACAUCUUCUUAUAACAAUUGUGUCCGAUGACGAAAUUGACCAAGCCAAAAAUUGGGGAAGAUCGUUUCCGAAGAACUUUAAUAAAAAACUGAGGCUUCGUUUUCUUCUGAACAAACGUGACCACGGAAAAAAAGAUUUCAAUCCCAGCCGGGAGCUACACGGUGAAGUAAAUGCUCUUUACACUGGUGAGAUUAAUACAUAGAUGAAUGACUUCAAAAACAACCGAAUGACAAAAUAUAAAUAUCCAAUUAUAUUGAUUUAUUCUCAUUACAUACCCUGUGCGGGGGUGCCAAACUUGGGCUACUCGUGCUCAGAAGAGCUGAUGAACUAUGCCAAAGGAAAAAUAAAUAAUUUUAUCAUGCUUGUAGCUUAUUCGACCACUUUUAAGAACACUGACGAAAAGAGUUCGUUUGAUUUUAUGAGGAACGGAGGAAUUAAUGCAUUUAUGCGUAUGCCUGAUGGUUCAUAUGCCCAUACAUUAAAAGUUAACCCUCCAAGCAGCAUCGAUGGUAUAAAAAGAACAUUUCAAAGGGAAACAUAUGAUUGUAUAUCUGACGUCCAACCAUCAAAGUGUUUCGCAAGUCACCAAAAGAAUAGAGCUGCAAUCACAACAUAUUUCAUAAAUUAUUUAACAUACCAGUGUAUUUCUAAAUCAAAAGCCACCGGCUUGUUUACAGAAUUAUCAAAAAAUCAACUGAAAGCAUGUCUUAAAGAAGAAAUUGAUAAAAACAUUGGAGACGACUGUGUACAGUGCAGUAAGAAAAACACAGAAUCGAUUCAAGCUACAAAAUUAUAUUUUCAGCUUUGUUUUAAUCGUUCAAUCGAAGUUUCCAAGGGUUUGGGUAAACCACGCUCUAAUAAUGAUAUUCCUGACUGGGAGCCGUGUCAGAAUCGUGCCUGGAAUGAAAUAUACAGUCCUCCUGGACCAAGGAGGAAUAAGGAUAAGCUGUCAAGAGUGGUGUGUGAAAACAGGGUUGAUUCUAAGGAGUCACUGCGUUCGCAUUUUGAAGAGAACAAAAAGUCGAGCUUUAGCAAGCCAUUUUUGAAAAAUAAAUGGUAUGCGUCACUCCCUUAACCAUGAAAUCAUGACGUACUCGAAAAAACUAUUUGACUAUUAUGCACUUGACCAUGUAAUGGCUGUAAUUUGAGCUGAAUGAAGAAAUUGAUAUUAAAGCAAUUGUACUAUAA